rnacentral:rRNA from 1 species
AUUGAACGCUGGCGGCAGGCCUAACACAUGCAAGUCGAGCGGAUGAAGGGAGCUUGCUCCUGGAUUCAGCGGCGGACGGGUGAGUAAUGCCUAGGAAUCUGCCUGGUAGUGGGGGAUAACGUCCGGAAACGGGCGCUAAUACCGCAUACGUCCUGAGGGAGAAAGUGGGGGAUCUUCGGACCUCACGCUAUCAGAUGAGCCUAGGUCGGAUUAGCUAGUUGGUGGGGUAAAGGCCUACCAAGGCGACGAUCCGUAACUGGUCUGAGAGGAUGAUCAGUCAACCUGGAACUGAGAACCGGUCCAGCCUCCUACGGGAGGCAGCAGGGGGGAAUUUUGGACAAUGGGCGAAACCCUGAUCCAGCCAUGCCGGGGGGGUGAAGAAGGUUUUCGGUUUGUAAAGCCCUUUAAGUUGGGAGGAAGGGAAGUAAGUUAAGACCUUGCUUUUUUGACUUUACCAACAAAAUAAGCACCGGCUAACUUCGU